GAGGGGGGGUGCCCCUCUGCAGGGCGCCGUGGGUAGCGCAUUGGGGACUGUGUGAGGCUGGGGGAGGAAGGGUGAAGUCCUGGGAGAGCGGCAGGAGGGUGUUUAAGGGAUAAUCAAUCAGUUAAUAAAUAAAUAAGCGCAAAGCUGCCGUCGCCUCAACGCAGCGAGGCUGCCCCCCGGCUGAGGGAGCCGCCGUCCCGCCUCAUGGUGGGGGCGGGCAGCACCUGAGGGGUCUGUGUGAGGAUGGGGGAGAAGGAGCGAAGGCCUCGGAGAGCAGGAGGGCGUUUAAAAAUAAAUCAAUACAUCAAUAAAUAAAUCAAUAAGCACAAAGGUGCCGUCACCUCAGCGAGGCUGCCCCCAGCUGAGGGAGCCGCCGUCCCCUCAGCCCGCCCGCGCGACCCGGGGCGCCGUGAGCUCCCCUCACGAACGCCGCCGGAGCCUCCUGGGGCUCUGCUACCCGGUGAGGAGACUGAGGGAGAAAAGUUUUUCCCUGCGUCUAUUUUUUACUUUUUUUUUUUUUUUGCAACUCGGGGGUGGCAGGAUACGAAGGGGAGGCGGCUGCGAAGCGGGGAGCCGAGCAGCAGGACGAGCCGGGCCCGGGGGAGCCGCGCCGCCUCUCCCUGGUUACCGACCCGCGAGUGGGCGGCCGCCUUUGUUUCCAGGCACGGGCUUGGAGAGAAACGCCGCGGCAUUUCCGAACCUGAGGGGGGAAAUACAAGGCCAGGGGUGAGAAAAUAAUGUUUUCCCAGCACUGUUUGAUGCUGGGAGCUGGAAAACAUUCGACGGUACUACCGAAAACACGUAAUUUUAAGGACAGAAAACUGCCUCACUGACACCGAGUAUUUAUUUAAGUGCCGCACGAUCUCUCGGUGAGCCCUGCCCCUUAGAUAAAGCUGGAAAAGGAAGUCUCAAACUGUUCUAAAUUGCCAAAUAAUUUUGAUGAAAUUAGUAUGAUUUGAGGGAGCAAAAUGGUACGCUCCGUAGUCCAGAAUGCUGUUUUUUUAACUCAGAAGUCAAUCGUUGGACAAACAGGUAGAAGAUGCCUGGCUGCUGCCAUCCUUGGUUAAAUUUGGGCAACCUGUUCCACAGCGCUCACCGGUACAGUCCCCUGCCACCCAGCCUGCUGAAGAGUUGCCUGUUGUGGAUGUGUCAUUGCAGCAAGAGCCAGCUGGCAUGUCAGCAUUUCCAUUGCAAACCUAUUUUUAAAGAGUAUCUCAUCUCACCCGUGUCCAUGACUGUAUGGAUAUCAGAUCUCCUUUGGUGUGCAAUUUUCAGAACUGCAUGAAUGCUCCAGACCAGCCAACUUACACAUCUCAGAAGUUGUAUGCUAUCAAACCAAAGCCUGCUUACAGUGAAGUUAAAGACCCAGCGUCCUAUCUCUGGCCAAGAAAGCAGAUGCCAGACAGAAAAUACGAACAGGCUACAGAUAAACCCGUGUGCCCAUUUAACACUGAGAAAUGGCAUUUUUCAAGCAAGGCGUAUGCUUAGCUGAGCGCAGAACUGGCACAAGGCACCUGCAGAGGCAUUACAAAGUUAGGAUUUCAGUGGGACAAACGUGCUGGAUUCUCUCUCUGUAGAGGAGAAUAUUUUGCCGUAAAGUUUUUCUCAUAAAAGACUUUUCUUUCAUAAAGCAUCACGCUGAGUGCUCAGAAUUUCCUUCCGACUCCCCUCGAGUCACGCUGACAGAGCUGCAUAACCCACAGAUCGACGCAGAAAGCCCAGGGGAAAUGAAAAUUGUCCUUCCUUGUUUGUUCGACUGUUUGUUGAACAUUAAUCCAGCACUCCUGGCUUUUUCCAAAGUUGUUCUGAGACUCUGGGAAUGCUUGUUUUAAUGCUAUUGACACGUCAAAGCGACACCUACAUCUCAUUAUACUCUAUACAGCUGGAAAAAAGAGAGAUCACCUGCAAAACGCCUUGGCUGCUGAACCAGCAUUUUACCAAACACUGCCUCCAAAGAGGGUGAUUCACUCGCACAGGUUGGUGGUUCAGUCUGAACAGCACCUGCCAAAACUGCUGCCAAUGCAUUUCACUUCAGAAUCGUUUAAAUAUUUGCGAGGAACAAGGGCUUCUCCAUGGCAUCAGCUUCUCCAUGGCUUGGACACCUCCACCUCUCUCCUUUUCCCAUCAGUGACAUGAGGGACACCAGGCCCAAAUCCUGCCUGAGCAGCCCGCCGUGUUCACCACCUCAGUGGAGAGGUUUGAGAGGCAUCAUUUCACUAUCAAAUCCUUCUCACUUUGGGAAGGGUUAAUUUGGAGAACAUUGCAGCUUCUUGCUCUGUGUGUGGGUGAGUGUGGGGGUUUCUGUUUUGUUUUUGAGCAGGAAAUCAUAUUUUGAGCUUUUACUGAGGGCCUUAACCCCCCAAACGGCAAGCAUGUUGAUUGGCCCUAAUGCAGUCCCAAGCUCUUCUGUGUUUUUUUCUCCAUCCCACUCUCUAUGUAAAUCAUCUUUCUUCUGCUUUGUCUCCGUAGCCUGCAAUCCCUCUCAAUUUUUGUUUUAAUUUCUUAUCGAGUGUACUGAAAAUUAUUAAGCACAUUGAGUGCUACCGAGUCAGCUGUUUUGCCUCCAGACUGUCCAUCUUUCAGCUGGCAUCGAUUUCACAGAGAGCUGCUAAAACCUUUUUGCAUGGCCCUCCAGAUUUCCUGAGAGAUUCAAAGUCUUCAGGGACCUCGAGAGCUCCAGUCUGACACGUGGGUUAUUAUAAUCCUGGGGUGGUGUAUCCAGAAAGCUCUCAGAAACAGCAUCUGGGCAAGGGCUGCUUCAGCCAGGCUGUUCCUCUGCUGCAGUCAGCAUCAGCUCCCAACCAGCACCACACAACACUGCUCCACAGCUCCCAGCUGGUUCUUGCAAGAGCCCCUCAGAAGCUAAAAUUCUGCCUUUUACUACAAAUUUAAACACACAUUUACAAGCUCUGAUUAUAUUUGAAUGACUAAUACCUUGAAGGAGUCACCAAAGAGGCGUAAAUUAGAGUUAUCAGGUCAGAUCUUGGACAGAGGCGGUUGGUACAACCCUGUUUAUUUCCCAGCAUGAGGUGAAUCAGUUCAAGAUCUCUUUCCUUAAACUAAGACGUACUUUUAGAAAAAACACUCAUCAUUUUGAAAUUGUUAGGAUAUGGAAAACAAUAUGCAACCCAACAUCAGCACCAUGUAAGUGUACAAACAGCCUGCAAAACUCCUCCUGGUCAGGAGUUUUACUAACUGAUCUAAUUUCUUCUUUUAAUUACUGUAUUGCUUUUAAUACAAAUUAUUACUUUGUGCACACACUUUAUUUUUACAUGUAAUACAGUUCUAAAAGGUUUUAUCUUUUUUUUCCCCUUAUUGAGCCCAAAUCACCUGUUAUUAUGUCCCACUGAUAUACCUACAGGCCACGUCAUCAAAGCAGCAUGGACACAAACAGCACCAGGACUUGUACCGAGGAUGCUGCACCUUCCUGGUGUGUGCCAGGCUGAAUUUGUGCAGUCCUGGGUGACACGCUUAUGUUCGGGUGGCUUCUCCAACCAUAUUUCUAUUUUACAGUGUGAAUUUCACUUCAGCAUCAGAACUGACUUGUCCAUGUUUUCAGCAGUGCAUUGGAGCAUUUUGGUGUUACUCAAUAGUUUUUCUUACUCCAUCUCAACAAGAAGUGCUGGUAAGGGACAGGCAUCAGGUAAUGGUUUUGCCUCUUAGCUGUUAAAUGCUGACUGCUGCCUCUUUUGAAGGCAGCAGUGAAGAUGAUGCCCCCUGAUUCCUUUUGCACAUCUCCCCCAGUUUCUUCCCUUGCCCCGCUGCCGUAGCCCUUUGGUGCCACCCCAGAAGGGCAGAUGGGAGAGGGAACAGCAGCAAUGCCCAAGGUCAGCUCUGACCAAACCCCAGCAAGGAGGCUCCUGAUGUUUGGUUCCAAGUUCCUGCCACUCUUUCUUUCUCCUCCGAGGUCUGUACAUGUGUACUGCCAUCUGGUACAUCUGCAGCCUUUCUCCAUUUACCAUGAACACAAAGCAAAGGCUUCACCUCCUUCGUGGUGCUCCAUCUUUGCUGUCAGUAAGCUGCUCUUCCUUCCACAAGUCCAUUCAUGUACGCAAACCCUUUCUUAGACUGCAUUUGCACGUCUCAUGUAGUUGUUCUUUUUUUUAAAGGCUUCUCUUUCUCAUUAUGCAUUUACACUGAUGUCCAUUGGUUAAAUCUGGUUUUGUUACCCGCAGUUCCCAGCUGGUUUGGCUGUUUGCUUAUGGUCCCUGUGUGGUCUCCUGCAGGUACUUACACCCAAGAGACAGAUAUGAUGAGAAUUUGAGUGAUCUUGGAACCAGGCUUUAAAUUCAAACCUAAAUGACGAUGGUCACAAGCCUUUGUUUUAUCUCCAUUCUUAAUACACUUUACAACUUGUCUUUGCCUCAGAACAAGGGAGGAAAACUGCAUUGCCUAAGCUUUGCUCAUGCCAGACCUCAGGAUUUCAACAAGGGCAGCUUGAUGCCCUUGAGAAUCACAAAGGUAUGAGAAUUACAAAGCAGAGAGGACAGGAAAUCUCCCUUCCUCCAAACUGAACCUUGCUCCUGCACCAGCAGAGCCAGCUUGAGGAGUGACUGCAUCCCCAAGACCAACAGCCAGCACGUCUAAGCUGCUUUUGGCACCACAUCUGAGGAGGUGGGAGGCCAUCCCAUCACCAUUAGAAGCCCCUAAGAGAGCCGUGGAGGCCAGGCAGUGACACCGGGCUCUGCACAGUGUCAGGUGGGGAAGACAACGAGGGACCACAAUGUUUCCCCCAGAAACAGCAAAUAAUAUGGAUCUUGCCGAGCUGGUCACUGCCCCUGCGUUUUUAAGAAAAAUCUGAAAUUAAUCUUUCAUAACUGCAUGUGGUCAGGAUGUUAAUUUGAGCUCUACCCAAGAACCAGAGUGCAGGAGAUAAAGCAGCAACUCGAAGGCUGUGCUGAGAUGUUGACGGAGCCGUGACUCACAGAGGUGCCACCCACCGAACCUCCAGCAGCCUCCUUGGAUGAGAAGCAGCAGCUACACACGCUUCCCUUCCCCUGUAUCCAGCUUCAAUUCACACAGAGACCUAUGAGUCUGUGUAUAUAUAUACACACACACACAUUAUACAUCGACAUUUAAAUAUAAUAUACUGCCAGAGUUAUGAUUUUUUAAAUAUCUGAAGGAUGUGGUAUCUUGGAAACCAAUUGCUUCGAGCUGCCCAAAUCAAUUACAGAGUGAAUCAACACAUCGCCUCGGCGUGGGAGAAGCGAGCAGCCGGUGCUGCCGCCGGCCCCGUCCCAGGGGCUGCGGGGCUCUGGCAGCCCCUGGUGCCCCCAUUCCCCUGGUGCUGCACCCAGAGCACCAGCCACGGGGGCUGCAGGCACGGAGCCAGCAGCUG